UGCUUUUCAAAUGCACUUGACCAAUCAUGUGAUGCCACAAAUUUAUAUUUGACCAAUCUGUUUAGGUUGACUCGGCUAGCUAGAGAAGAUAAGAACGUGGAAAUGAUGUUGAUUUUCCAAUCGGGACAUGCACCAAAAACUGUGGUUGCCUUUAAUAAUUCCAGGCAGACAAGAGGGCAAAGGGUAUUUACAGAGACAAGCAACAAGUGGAAUCUUAGGCAUCAUCUGUAUCAUAUCUCACUUUAUCAGUUUUCAGGUUAAGUCUAUAAUGCACGAGGGGUUCACCAUUUUUCUGCAACUCUCUCGGGAAGUAAAGCUUGAUGUUAAAAUGCUUCGUUUUUCCAUGAAAUAUUGGAUUGUGAGAUAUUGCGAUUGCUACCUAGUUAUCAACUAAAAUUUUUGUGUUAUCCUUAUGCUUCAUAUGUAGAUCACAAAGAAUUGUUUUCAAUUAUAAAACUUGAUUUAUUGUUGAUGUUGCUAUAA